AUGGGUCUCUGUCAUGGGAAGCCCUCGCGAAUCCCGGAGCCCAAGGCGGAGGAGGAGCCGCGCGUGGCCUCCGGGACCGGCGAUGCCGCCGGUGGCGCCGCCGCCUCGCCGGCGCAGGCGGCCGCCGCGGCGAAGCCGGGCACGCCGAAGCAGCCCAAGUUCCCCUUCUACCUGCCGAGCCCGCUCCCGGCGUCCAGCUACAAGGGCUCGCCAGCCAACUCGAGCGUGGCGUCCACGCCGGCGCGCGGCGGCUUCAAGCGGCCCUUCCCGCCGCCGUCGCCGGCCAAGCACAUCCGCGCGCUCCUGGCGCGGCGGCACGGCUCCGUCAAGCCCAACGAGGCGUCCAUCCCCGAGGGCGGCGAGCCGGAGCUGGGCCUCGACAAGAGCUUCGGCUUCUCCAAGCACUUCUUCGCCAAGUACGAGCUCGGCGAGGAGGUCGGCCGCGGCCACUUCGGCUACACCUGCGCCGCCAAGGCCAAGAAGGGCGAGCACAAGGGCCAGGACGUCGCCGUCAAGGUCAUCCCCAAGGCCAAGAUGACAACAGCCAUAGCAAUUGAAGAUGUCAGAAGAGAAGUGAGGAUACUGAGCUCUCUGACAGGCCACAGCAACCUAGUGCAGUUCUAUGAUGCUUUUGAAGAUGAAGACAACGUGUAUAUAGUUAUGGAAUUGUGUAAAGGAGGCGAACUACUUGAUAAGAUAUUGGCAAGAGGUGGAAAGUAUUCUGAAGAGGAUGCAAAGGUUGUUAUGCUGCAAAUUUUGAGUGUAGUAUCAUUUUGCCAUCUUCAAGGUGUUGUUCAUCGGGAUCUGAAACCAGAGAAUUUUCUAUUCUCAUCAAAGGAGGAAAACUCACCCUUGAAGGUCAUAGACUUUGGCUUGUCUGACUUUGUAAAGCCAGAUGAAAGACUCAAUGACAUUGUUGGAAGUGCGUAUUAUGUUGCUCCCGAGGUGCUUCAUCGAUCUUAUGGCACGGAGGGAGAUAUGUGGAGCAUUGGAGUAAUUGCCUACAUUUUGCUUUGUGGGAGCCGACCUUUCUGGGCACGCACAGAAUCAGGAAUAUUCCGAGCUGUCCUUAAGGCGGAACCAAGUUUUGAUGAGGCCCCAUGGCCUACUCUCUCUGCUGAAGCCAAAGACUUUGUAAAAAGGUUGCUUAAUAAGGAUUACCGCAAGAGGAUGACUGCCUCACAAGCUCUCAGUCACCCAUGGAUCCGUGAUGCACAACAAGUCAAAAUUCCUUUAGAUAUGAUAAUCUACAAGCUUAUCCGAGCUUAUAUCAGUUCAUCUUCAUUGCGGAAGUCUGCUUUGAGGGCCCUAGCUAAGACAUUGACAGCAAAUCAACUCUUUUAUCUAAAAGAGCAGUUUGAAUUGUUGGGUCCAAACAAGAGUGGUUUUAUCUCCUUGCAAAAUUUGAAAUCGGCUCUGGUGAAGAAUUCUACGGAUGCAAUGAAGGAUUCCAGGGUUAUUGACUUUGUUAACACGGUAUGCACCCUUCAGUACAGAAAAUUGGAUUUCGAAGAGUUUGCGGCUUCCGCCAUCAGCGUAUAUCAGAUGGAAGCUCUGGAGACCUGGGAACAGCACGCUCGGCGCGCGUACGAGCUGUUCGACAAGGAGGGCAACCGGCCUAUCGUGAUCGAAGAACUUGCUUCGGAACUCGGCCUCGGCCCGUCGGUGCCCCUCCACGUCGUCCUCCAGGACUGGAUCAGGCACGCCGACGGGAAGCUGAGCUUCCUCGGGUUCAUAAAGCUCUUGCACGGAGUUUCUUCCCGGUCGAUCCCGAAAGCCUGA
rnacentral:rRNA from 1 species